rnacentral:rRNA from 1 species
AAGACCUCAAAUCAGGUGGGACUACCCGCUGAACUUAAGCAUAUCAAUAAGCGGAGGAAAAGAAACUAACAAGGAUUCCCCCAGUAACGGCGAGUGAAGAGGGAAAAGCCCAAAUUUGUAAUCUGGCUCUUUUAGAGUCCGAGUUGUAAUUUUGAGAACUGUUUUCUGUGCUGGACCAUGUUUAAGUCUGUUGAAAAACAGCAUCAUUGAGGGUGAUAAUCCCGUUCAUGAUAUGGACUACCAGUGCUAUAUGAUACAGUCUCUAAGAGUCGAGUUGUUUGGGAAUGCAGCUCAAAGUGGGUGGUAAAUUCCAUCUAAGGCUAAAUAUAGGUGAGAGACCGAUAGCAAACAAGUACCGUGAGGGAAAGAUGAAAAGAACUUUGGAAAGAGAGUUAACAGUACGUGAAAUUGCUGAAAGGGGAAACAAUUGAAGUUAGCCUUGUUAUUUCCAGUUCAACCCUUUUAGGGUGUAUUCUGGUAAUUAACGACCAACAUCAGUCUUUGAGUGCUGGAUAAGGGUUUUGGAAAAUGUAGCAGUCUAGGCUGUGUUAUAGUCCAUUACUUUGAUACAGUGCUUAGGAUUGAGGAUCGCAGUAAGCCAA